UGAUGAAUAAAGGUUGCUAGGAAA
rnacentral:piRNA from 1 species